UGCAGUUGAGGCAGGCGGAAUUCGUGGUGUAGCGGUGAAAUGCUUAGAUAUCACGAAGAACUCCGAUUGCGAAGGCAGCCUGCUAAGCUGCAACUGACAUUGAGGCUCGAAAGUGUGGGUAUCAAACAGGAUUAGAUACCCUGGUAGUCCACACGGUAAACGAUGAAUACUCGCUGUUUGCGAUAUACUGCAAGCGGCCAAGCGAAAGCGUUAAGUAUUCCACCUGGGGAGUACGCCGGCAACGGUGAAACUCAAAGGAAUUGACGGGGGCCCGCACAAGCGGAGGAACAUGUGGUUUAAUUCGAUGAUACGCGAGGAACCUUACCCGGGCUUAAAUUGCAGAUGAAUUACGGUGAAAGCCGUAAGCCGCAAGGCAUCUGUGAAGGUGCUGCAUGGUUGUCGUCAGCUCGUGCCGUGAGGUGUCGGCUUAAGUGCCAUAACGAGCGCAACCCUUGUUGUCAGUUACUAACAGGUUCCGCUGAGGACUCUGACAAGACUGCCAUCGUAAGAUGUGAGGAAGGUGGGGAUGACGUCAAAUCAGCACGGCCCUUACGUCCGGGGCUACACACGUGUUACAAUGGGGGGUACAGAGGGCCGCUACCACGCGAGUGGAUGCCAAUCCCCAAAACCUCUCUCAGUUCGGACUGGAGUCUGCAACCCGACUCCACGAAGCUGGAUUCGCUAGUAAUCGCGCAUCAGCCACGGCGCGGUGAAUACGUUCCCGGGCCUUGUACACACCGCCCGUCAAGCCAUGGGAGCCGGGGGUACCUGAAGUGCGUAACCGCGAGGAGCGCCCUAGGGUAAAACUGGUGACUGGGGCUAAGUCGUAACAAGGUAGCCGUACCGGAAAGUGCGGCUG
rnacentral:rRNA from 1 species